ensembl:snoRNA SNORD13 small nucleolar RNA, C/D box 13
AUCCUUCGGUUCAUGAGUGUGAUGAUUGGGUGUUCACACUAUUGUGUGAGAUGUGCCUCCCUGUUAAACCUUGUUACGACCGUGGCACAUUACCCAUCUGACG